ensembl:snoRNA SNORA70 Small nucleolar RNA SNORA70
CUGAAGCCAAUUAAGCUGACCAAGUUCCUUCCCUCAUGCAGGCCUGGUGUGCAAACAGCAACCUCCUGGUGUACAUGCAGCCCGACACUUAGGCUGCCCUAAGGAACCAAGGAAGUCAAUU